rnacentral:sRNA from 1 species
AUAGGCGCCUUUCGUGGGCCGGUAAUGGAAAAAUGGUGUGCGCCGGCUGCAUCCGGCAUCCCUUGUAUCCAUGUUGCUCAACAGAGGAUGUGGCUAUGAGGA